rnacentral:rRNA from 1 species
GACGAACGCUGGCGGCGUGCUUAACACAUGCAAGUCGAACGGAAAGGCCCUGCUUUUGUGGGGUGCUCGAGUGGCGAACGGGUGAGUAACACGUGAGUAACCUGCCCUUGACUUUGGGAUAACUUCAGGAAACUGGGGCUAAUACCGGAUAGGAGCUCCUGCUGCAUGGUGGGGGUUGGAAAGUUUCGGCGGUUGGGGAUGGACUCGCGGCUUAUCAGCUUGUUGGUGGGGUAGUGGCUUACCAAGGCUUUGACGGGUAGCCGGCCUGAGAGGGUGACCGGCCACAUUGGGACUGAGAUACGGCCCAGACUCCUACGGGAGGCAGCAGUGGGGAAUAUUGCACAAUGGGCGGAAGCCUGAUGCAGCAACGCCGCGUGCGGGAUGACGGCCUUCGGGUUGUAAACCGCUUUCGCCUGUGACGAAGCGUGAGUGACGGUAAUGGGUAAAGAAGCACCGGCUAACUACGUGCCAGCAGCCGCGGUGAUACGUAGGGUGCGAGCGUUGUCCGGAUUUAUUGGGCGUAAAGGGCUCGUAGGUGGUUGAUCGCGUCGGAAGUGUAAUCUUGGGGCUUAACCCUGAGCGUGCUUUCGAUACGGGUUGACUUGAGGAAGGUAGGGGAGAACGGAAUUCUUGGUGGAGCGGUGGAAUGCGCAGAUAUCAGGAGGAACACCAGUGGCGAAGGCGGUUCUCUGGGCCUUUCCUGACGCUGAGGAGCGAAAGCGUGGGGAGCGAACAGGCUUAGAUACCCUGGUAGUCCACGCUGUAAACGGUGGGUACUAGGUGUGGGGUCCAUUCCACGGGUUCCGUGCCGUAGCUAACGCUUUAAGUACCCCGCCUGGGGAGUACGGCCGCAAGGCUAAAACUCAAAGGAAUUGACGGGGCCCCGCACAAGCGGCGGAGCAUGCGGAUUAAUUCGAUGCAACGCGUAGAACCUUACCUGGGUUUGACAUGGAUCGGGAGCGCUCAGAGAUGGGUGUGCCUCUUUUGGGGUCGGUUCACAGGUGGUGCAUGGCUGUCGUCAGCUCGUGUCGUGAGAUGUUGGGUUAAGUCCCGCAACGAGCGCAACCCUUGUUCACUGUUGCCAGCACGUUAUGGUGGGGACUCAGUGGAGACCGCCGGGGUCAACUCGGAGGAAGGUGGGGAUGACGUCAAGUCAUCAUGCCCCUUAUGUCCAGGGCUUCACGCAUGCUACAAUGGCUGGUACAGAGAGUGGCGAGCCUGUGAGGGUGAGCGAAUCUCGGAAAGCCGGUCUCAGUUCGGAUUGGGGUCUGCAACUCGACCUCAUGAAGUCGGAGUCGCUAGUAAUCGCAGAUCAGCAACGCUGCGGUGAAUACGUUCCCGGGGCU